UGGGGAAUAUUGCACAAUGGGCGAAAGCCUGAUGCAGCAACGCCGCGUGAGUGAUGAAGGCCUUCGGGUUGUAAAGCUCUGUCUUUUGGGACGAUAAUGACGGUACCAAAGGAGGAAGCCACGGCUAACUACGUGCCAGCAGCCGCGGUAAUACGUAGGUGGCAAGCGUUGUCCGGAUUUACUGGGCGUAAAGGAUGCGUAGGCGGAUUUUUAAGUGAGAUGUGAAAUACCCGGGCUUAACUUGGGUGCUGCAUUUCAAACUGGGAAUCUAGAGUGUGGGAGAGGAGAAUGGAAUUCCUAGUGUAGCGGUGAAAUGCGUAGAGAUUAGGAAGAACACCAGUGGCGAAGGCGAUUCUCUGGACCGUAACUGACGCUGAGGCAUGAAAGCGUGGGUAGCAAACAGGAUUAGAUACCCUGGUAGUCCACGCCGUAAACGAUGAGUACUAGGUGUAGGAGGUAUCGACCCCUUCUGUGCCGCAGUUAACACAAUAAGUACUCCGCCUGGGAAGUACGAUCGCAAGAUUAAAACUCAAAUGAAUUGACGGGGUCAUAGCUGUUUUCC
rnacentral:rRNA from 1 species